CUCCUUGUUUUGCUUUCGAUCUGGACUGUUCUCAGGCAAGCCGGGGAGUAACUUUUAGUUUUGCUCCUGCGAUUAUUCAACUGACGGGCUUUCAUUUCCAUUUCACACACCCUAGCAACACUUAUACCUUGCGGAAUUGUAUUGGUAGCGUGAAAAAAGCACACUGAGAGGGCACCAUGCCGGUGGAAAGGAUGCGCAUGCGCCCGUGGCUGGAGGAGCAGAUAAACUCCAACACGAUCCCAGGGCUCAAGUGGCUUAACAAGGAAAAGAAGAUUUUUCAGAUCCCCUGGAUGCAUGCGGCUAGACAUGGGUGGGAUGUGGAAAAAGAUGCACCACUCUUUAGAAACUGGGCAAUCCAUACAGGAAAGCAUCAACCAGGAGUAGAUAAACCUGAUCCCAAAACAUGGAAGGCGAAUUUCAGAUGCGCCAUGAAUUCCUUGCCUGAUAUUGAAGAAGUCAAGGAUAAAAGCAUCAAGAAAGGAAACAAUGCCUUCAGGGUCUACCGAAUGCUGCCCCUAUCGGAGCGGCCUUCUAAGAAAGGUAAAGGCAUUUACAGACUAAAAUAAGGAAAGAAACCAAAGACAGAAAAAGAAGACAAAGUUAAGCACAUCAAGCAAGAACCAGUUGAGUCAUCUCUGGGGCUUAGUAAUGGAGUAAGUGAUCUUUCUCCUGAGUAUGCGGUCCUGACUUCAGCUAUAAAAAAUGAAGUGGAUAGUACGGUGAACAUCAUA
rnacentral:sRNA from 1 species